rfam:Ailuropoda melanoleuca scaffold1530_19, whole genome shotgun sequence.
CAUUAGUAGGCCUCAGUAAAUGUUUAUUGGAUGAAUAAAUGAAUGAGUCAUCAACAAACAUUUAUCGUGUGCCUGCUAAGGUG